GAUAUGAUGUGUGCCUUAUUAAAUAGUAUAUCUGAUACAACCAAAGACAGUGACAGUAGUGAAAUUGAUCGAACAAGAACAAGCAGAAAUACUAUAGAAGAAGAGGAAAUCAAGUCCAGAGAAGUUCUCUUUAGCUGUGAAAUACAGAAUCAAAUGGCCAGAUGUGGAAUUGCAGGAAGUUCUGAAAAGGAGUCUGGAGGAGGUGUAAUUGAAGAAUCCCCUGCACAAUAACAGCUGUCACUGAAGGUGCUCGCAAUAGUAGAAUCUUGAGUUCUACUUGAGUCAAAAACCAUACUAGCAAAGAUAUAUUUGAAAACAUGCUUAUGCAUUUACUUGUUAGACUUGAAAGCUAAUGUCAUUUAUUUUAUGUUCUUGUACUAAUGUGGAUUUAUAAAAUGUACAGAAGGAAGAGAAUAAAUGUUUAAUAUAAAUCUGAAUUGCCA
rnacentral:lncRNA from 1 species